CAGAACUCUAACACCAAAAAUAAUCCUCACCUGUGACGGUAUUUCACAGGUCUAUACUGGUUUUGGACCAUAACAAAGGCUAAAAAUCAGUGAAAGGGCAGAGAUCUGCCUUACAAUCCAAAUUAAACACCUAAUUGCAGAGCUCACCGCCGCUGUGCAGAUCCCCAAGCUGGCACAGGGCCCUCGUUCACACAAACAGCCAUCAGGUGCAUGGCUAAGUGCAAUACACAGCCAAGGCCAAGGCCUGAGGGAGAGAAAUGCAACAGCUGCAUCAGCUUCCUCCUGUGGCUACUUUCUCCUGCACCUGCCAAAAAGACACGUGCCUGGUGCUAAUGGCAACACUCUCCUCUAGACCCUUGCACAAUACCUCAAGACUUGGACUGGGUGAAACCAGACGUGUUUUAACAAGAGGUAAUUGUGAGGUAAAAAUCCAGCAAAGCAGGUUGGCUUCUCCUACCAUGAGUUGUGGAGGUCAGUAAUGGCUACAUGGUGUAGGGCACAUGUUGACUUUCCAUUUGAAGAUCCAUCUCAGCAGCCCCUCCAGCAUUUGGCGGCCCAUCCUGGUCAGGCAUCACAGUGGGACUAGGCCACAGCUGUCAGCAGUUGCUCAGUGUGAGGAGCUGGGCAAGGCUUGGGCAGGGGCCGUGAGCCCCCUGACCACCCAGUGCCCACCUUAUCCCUGCCACCACCUCGCCUGGACAUUGCUGAGGGGAAAAGAAGGAGAGGGCACAACCCUCCAGGCCUGCCCUGCUCCUGAGCAAGUUUGUUUUCCCUGUGAGAGCAACUAAAACUCUGUGCUGCAUUUCCUCCAACCACCUCUACCAUGAGACUCCUCUCAGCGUAUCUGAUGAAGCUACUGUGUAAUACUAUAAACUGAUAUGAGUUAUUAACCAACCAAUUAACCAUACAAAACUAUUCAGCCUUCUAUCUUCUCUCCAACACUAUCUGCUUCCAUCUGUUUCUCCUUUCAUGCUUUCUGUAGAUAUUUUUGCUGGUGCAAAUUACCAUAAAGAUAUUUUUUUAAAAAUUAGUGAGAGAAGAAGGGAGCGAAAGAGGAGAAGGGGUUUCUAGAAAAAUCCCAUACUAAAUAUACCAAUGGGGAAAAAAAAAGAAAAAAAAAAAGGUAGCUUGCCUGUUGCUUGCCUGAAAGGCUUUUAUCCAACUCAUUUUCUCACUGCAGGGAGAAAGGGAAAUUGGCAAGCACUUCUCUGGCAAGUUGAUGCAGCCUGACUGCCCUGACUCUCAGUUCUUCUUCUUCCUUCUCCAGGCUGCCUGCCAGAUUGUCUCUGCCUUUUCUGAGGAGGCUGAGAAUACAGAAAGCUAGGGGAGGUUUGGGACUGGGAGCUCCCAUUCACCUUUACCUGCCUGCUUAAGAAAAAAAAUAUUACAAAGUUUAUUAAAAAUAGCAAGAGGAAAAAAAAAAAAAAGAUCUGGCAGAAGAAAAGCUGAUUGUUUUUAAGGUGUCUGAGGCUCUUUUAUGACUUCAAAGAACAGUAUGCA
rnacentral:lncRNA from 1 species